UCCUCCUCCUCUUCCUCUUCCUCCUCUUCCUCUUCAUUCUCCUUCUCCUCCUCCUCCUCCUUUCGUUUGUCAUUUCCUGUUGAGAGGGAGAGAGAAACGAACAAGUAGACACAGGUGUUGGAGAGAGGAGGAGGGAAGGAGAGAUGGGAAGGAGAAAAGGAGGUAGGAACAGGGAGGAAAUGGAGGGAGGGAGGAAAGUGGAGGUAACAGGUGGCUGGAGAGAGGAGGAGGGAGGAAGGAGAGAAGGCGAGGGGAAGAGUGGGAGAGGGAGGGGGAGAGAAAAGGGAAAAAGUCACUCCACAAUAUCAGUCAUUCUGUUGGUGUGUUGCAGGACGUGAAGAUGGACCCGGAGUGAUUGCCAAGGACUUACCAGUGAAUUGUGUGGAAAUUAAAACGUGGCAGCAGUGCGAACAGAACAAGUUACCAGCUAGCCGCCAGCGAGGGUGACCCAACAUUGCCCGCGCACUGGAUAAUGCCGGUGAGACAAGAUAGGAAGAGGUGGACCGAGAAGCGGUAGGCGUGGGAACAUGUAACGUCUGCACUGCCCCAUGCCACUUGCCCCAACCAUGACUCCACCUGAGUGACGGGCCUCAACACUGCACUGCACCUGAACCGAAUUCUCCCAGCAGCAUGAUGGUCGGGCUGGUGUACCUGGGGGCACUUGGGGGCCGGCGUCGGCUGGAUGGUAAG